GCCAGGCGUGGUGGUUCACACCUGUAAUCCCAGUGAUUUGGGAGGCUGAGGCAGCAGGAUCGAAAGUUUGGUGCCAGCUUCAACCUAGUGAGACCUUAAGCAAUAUAGUGAGACGCUGUCUCAA
rnacentral:sRNA from 1 species